GGUUAAGCGACUAAGCGUACACGGUGGAUGCCCUGGCAGUCAGAGGCGAUGAAGGACGUGCUAAUCUGCGAUAAGCGUCGGUAAGGUGAUAUGAACCGUUAUAACCGGCGAUUUCCGAAUGGGGAAACCCAGUGUGUUUCGACACACUAUCAUUAACUGAAUCCAUAGGUUAAUGAGGCGAACCGGGGGAACUGAAACAUCUAAGUACCCCGAGGAAAAGAAAUCAACCGAGAUUCCCCCAGUAGCGGCGAGCGAACGGGGAGCAGCCCAGAGCCUGAAUCAGUAUGUGUGUUAGUGGAAGCGUCUGGAAAGGCGCGCGAUACAGGGUGACAGCCCCGUACACAAAAAUGCACAUAUUGUGAGCUCGAUGAGUAGGGCGGGACACGUGGUAUCCUGUCUGAAUAUGGGGGGACCAUCCUCCAAGGCUAAAUACUCCUGACUGACCGAUAGUGAACCAGUACCGUGAGGGAAAGGCGAAAAGAACCCCGGCGAGGGGAGUGAAAAAGAACCUGAAACCGUGUACGUACAAGCAGUGGGAGCACGCUUAGGCGUGUGACUGCGUACCUUUUGUAUAAUGGGUCAGCGACUUAUAUUCUGUAGCAAGGUUAACCGAAUAGGGGAGCCGAAGGGAAACCGAGUCUUAACUGGGCGUUAAGUUGCAGGGUAUAGACCCGAAACCCGGUGAUCUAGCCAUGGGCAGGUUGAAGGUUGGGUAACACUAACUGGAGGACCGAACCGACUAAUGUUGAAAAAUUAGCGGAUGACUUGUGGCUGGGGGUGAAAGGCCAAUCAAACCGGGAGAUAGCUGGUUCUCCCCGAAAGCUAUUUAGGUAGCGCCUCGUGAAUUCAUCUCCGGGGGUAGAGCACUGUUUCGGCAAGGGGGUCAUCCCGACUUACCAACCCGAUGCAAACUGCGAAUACCGGAGAAUGUUAUCACGGGAGACACACGGCGGGUGCUAACGUCCGUCGUGAAGAGGGAAACAACCCAGACCGCCAGCUAAGGUCCCAAAGUCAUGGUUAAGUGGGAAACGAUGUGGGAAGGCCCAGACAGCCAGGAUGUUGGCUUAGAAGCAGCCAUCAUUUAAAGAAAGCGUAAUAGCUCACUGGUCGAGUCGGCCUGCGCGGAAGAUGUAACGGGGCUAAACCAUGCACCGAAGCUGCGGCAGCGACGCUGAUGCGUUGUUGGGUAGGGGAGCGUUCUGUAAGCCUGCGAAGGUGUGCUGUGAGGCAUGCUGGAGGUAUCAGAAGUGCGAAUGCUGACAUAAGUAACGAUAAAGCGGGUGAAAAGCCCGCUCGCCGGAAGACCAAGGGUUCCUGUCCAACGUUAAUCGGGGCAGGGUGAGUCGACCCCUAAGGCGAGGCCGAAAGGCGUAGUCGAUGGGAAACAGGUUAAUAUUCCUGUACUUGGUGUUACUGCGAAGGGGGGACGGAGAAGGCUAUGUUGGCCGGGCGACGGUUGUCCCGGUUUAAGCGUGUAGGCUGGUUUUCCAGGCAAAUCCGGAAAAUCAAGGCUGAGGCGUGAUGACGAGGCACUACGGUGCUGAAGCAACAAAUGCCCUGCUUCCAGGAAAAGCCUCUAAGCAUCAGGUAACAUCAAAUCGUACCCCAAACCGACACAGGUGGUCAGGUAGAGAAUACCAAGGCGCUUGAGAGAACUCGGGUGAAGGAACUAGGCAAAAUGGUGCCGUAACUUCGGGAGAAGGCACGCUGAUAUGUAGGUGAAGUCCCUCGCGGAUGGAGCUGAAAUCAGUCGAAGAUACCAGCUGGCUGCAACUGUUUAUUAAAAACACAGCACUGUGCAAACACGAAAGUGGACGUAUACGGUGUGACGCCUGCCCGGUGCCGGAAGGUUAAUUGAUGGGGUUAGCCGCAAGGCGAAGCUCUUGAUCGAAGCCCCGGUAAACGGCGGCCGUAACUAUAACGGUCCUAAGGUAGCGAAAUUCCUUGUCGGGUAAGUUCCGACCUGCACGAAUGGCGUAAUGAUGGCCAGGCUGUCUCCACCCGAGACUCAGUGAAAUUGAACUCGCUGUGAAGAUGCAGUGUACCCGCGGCAAGACGGAAAGACCCCGUGAACCUUUACUAUAGCUUGACACUGAACAUUGAGCCUUGAUGUGUAGGAUAGGUGGGAGGCUUUGAAGUGUGGACGCCAGUCUGCAUGGAGCCGACCUUGAAAUACCACCCUUUAAUGUUUGAUGUUCUAACGUUGACCCGUAAUCCGGGUUGCGGACAGUGUCUGGUGGGUAGUUUGACUGGGGCGGUCUCCUCCUAAAGAGUAACGGAGGAGCACGAAGGUUGGCUAAUCCUGGUCGGACAUCAGGAGGUUAGUGCAAUGGCAUAAGCCAGCUUGACUGCGAGCGUGACGGCGCGAGCAGGUGCGAAAGCAGGUCAUAGUGAUCCGGUGGUUCUGAAUGGAAGGGCCAUCGCUCAACGGAUAAAAGGUACUCCGGGGAUAACAGGCUGAUACCGCCCAAGAGUUCAUAUCGACGGCGGUGUUUGGCACCUCGAUGUCGGCUCAUCACAUCCUGGGGCUGAAGUAGGUCCCAAGGGUAUGGCUGUUCGCCAUUUAAAGUGGUACGCGAGCUGGGUUUAGAACGUCGUGAGACAGUUCGGUCCCUAUCUGCCGUGGGCGCUGGAGAACUGAGGGGGGCUGCUCCUAGUACGAGAGGACCGGAGUGGACGCAUCACUGGUGUUCGGGUUGUCAUGCCAAUGGCACUGCCCGGUAGCUAAAUGCGGAAGAGAUAAGUGCUGAAAGCAUCUAAGCACGAAACUUGCCCCGAGAUGAGUUCUCCCUGACCCUUUAAGGGUCCUGAAGGAACGUUGAAGACGACGACGUUGAUAGGCCGGGUGUGUAAGCGCAGCGAUGCGUUGAGCUAACCGGUACUAAUGAACCGUGAGGCUUAACCUU
rnacentral:rRNA from 1 species